rnacentral:rRNA from 1 species
CAUGUAGGCGGUCCUUUAAGUCUGGAGUGAAAUGCGGGGCUCAACCCCGUAUGGCUUUGGAUACUGGGGGACUUGAGUGCAGGAGAGGAAAGGGGAAUUCCCAGUGUAGCGGUGAAAUGCGUAGAUAUUGGGAGGAACACCAGUGGCGAAGGCGCCUUUCUGGACUGUGUCUGACGCUGAGAUGCGAAAGCCAGGGUAGCGAACGG